rnacentral:rRNA from 1 species
CAAGCGUUAAUCGGAAUUACUGGGCGUAAAGCGCACGCAGGCGGUUUGUUAAGUCAGAUGUGAAAUCCCCGGGCUCAACCUGGGAACUGCAUUUGAAACUGGCAAGCUAGAGUCUCGUAGAGGGGGGUAGAAUUCCAGGUGUAGCGGUGAAAUGCGUAGAGAUCUGGAGGAAUACCGGUGGCGAAGGCGGCCCCCUGGACGAAGACUGACGCUCAGGUGCGAAAGCGUGGGGAGCAAACAGGAUUAGAUACCCUGGUAGUCCACGCUGUAAACGAUGUCGAUUUGGAGGUUGUGCCCUUGAGGCGUGGCUUCCGGAGCUAACGCGUUAAAUCGACCGCCUGGGGAGUACGGCCGCAAGGUUAAAACUCAAAUGAAUUGACGGGGGCCCGCACAAGCGGUGGAGCAUGUGGUUUAAUUCGAUGCAACGCGAAGAACCUUACCUACUCUUGACAUCCAGA